rnacentral:lncRNA from 1 species
AUGGCAGAGGAGGGAAGCCUCAGAAUGGGACAGAACUGCUUUCAUGGAGAAGAGCAGAACAUCAUCCAUAUGGGACAACCUGGCCAAACCCCGGGCCACACUCUAAUGGCAGUGACCAAGCAAAGGGGGGGCGAGUUCUGCAGGCACCUGUCCCACACCAGCUCUCAUCCUGGAGCUCAGCACAGCAUGGGAAUGUCCAUCCUCCUCAGUGGGGCUGUGCAUCCUCCUCUGUGGGACUGUCCAUCCUCCUCAGUGGGGCUGUCCAUCCUCCUCAGUGGGACUGUCCAUCCUCCUCAGUGGGGCUGUCCAUCCUCCUCCGUGGGACUGUCCAUCCUCCUCCAUGGGACUGUCCAUCCUCCUCCAUGGGACUGUCCAUGCUCCUCAGUGGGACUGUCCAUCCUCCUCCAUGGGACUGUCCAUGCUCCUCAGUGGGGCUCCCUCCCGAGCAGGGCACCAGGAACCUUCCACAGUCCCUUGGGAAAGUGCCCCUGGAUCUCCUGUGUGUCUGUGCCAGGGCAGGGCACCGGGCUGGUGCCCUGUCACCAUCUCCUGUGUGUCUGUGCCAGGGCAGGGCACAGGGCUGGUGCCCUGUCACCCACAGCUGGUGGCACAGAGCUGCCAGGGGCCCUGGCCCUGGGACAUGAGGCAGGACAUUGAAGCCAUGGUGGGGGGGCAUGGUGCUGUCUGCAGAGCUUCCAAAAGCCCGGGAGUGAGGGAUCCCUCGGCCCCCACAUCUGGCUAACACAUCUGGCCUGGUGUUCCCAGCAGCCAGGUGAACCUGCAGACAUCUGCAGCUAAAGCACAGCUUCUCCAGCAGCCUGGGGGGAGCUCCUCACCCCCAGGAAAGCACAGGACAGGGUCUGUCACACAAAGUGGCCAGCAGGUUUUGCCCAGUGAGUGCAGGCACACAGUGUGUCUGUGGCACAGCCUCUGCUCCGUGCUUCGUGUCCUGCCUGACAGGAGGCCAAGCUGGUGAGGAUGAUGAAUUUAUGACCUGCCACCCACUGCUGCAGUGGAGUCUGGAGCCACAGAUGCUUACAGAGGGUGUUGUGGGAGCUGUGGUUUGGAUGAAUAAUUUUCCAGCCCUGAAGCUUAAGAGCCAUGAAACCCAGAGGGG